ACAUGUAAGAGGCUUGACGUUCGAUUAGCGCAACUAACGCAUUUUCCUAUCCGCCAGGGCCAGUCCGGCCACAUGAUAACAACCGAAGGGAUUGGUCGGGACCAAACGUGUUUCGAAUGUACUGGGCGUAAAGGGCGCGUAGGCGGCGUGACAAGUCAGUUGUGAAAUCUCCGAGCUUAACUCGGAACGGUCAACUGAUACUGUUGUGCUAGAGUACAGAAGGGGCAAUCGGAAUUCUUGGUGUAGCGGUGAAAUGCGUAGAUAUCAAGAGGAACACCUGAGGUGAAGACGGGUUGCUGGGCUGAUACUGACGCUGAGGCGCGAAAGCUAGGGUAGCAAACGGGAUUAGAUACCCCGGUAGUCCUAGCCCUAAACGAUGAAUACUUGGUGUCUGGAAUAUUAUUUUUCCGGGUGCCGUCGCUAACGUUUUAAGUAUUCCGCCUGGGGAGUACGCACGCAAGUGUGAAACUCAAA
rnacentral:rRNA from 1 species